GAAGCUGCGGCAGCGACACUGUGUGUUGUUGGGUAGGGGAGCGUUCUGUAAGCCUGUGAAGGUGGCCUGUGAGGGUUGCUGGAGGUAUCAGAAGUGCGAAUGCUGACAUAAGUAACGAUAAAGCGGGUGAAAAGCCCGCUCGCCGGAAGACCAAGGGUUCCUGUCCAACGUUAAUCGGGGCAGGGUGAGUCGACCCCUAAGGCGAGGCCGAAAGGCGUAGUCGAUGGGAAACGGGUUAAUAUUCCCGUACUUGGUGUUACUGCGAAGGGGGGACGGAGAAGGCUAUGUUGGCCGGGCGACGGUUGUCCCGGUUUAAGCGUGUAGGUGUGUGUUCCAGGUAAAUCCGGUUCACUUUAACACUGAGGCGUGAUGACGAGGCACUACGGUGCUGAAGCAACAAAUGCCCUGCUUCCAGGAAAAGCCUCUAAGCAUCAGGUAACAUCAAAUCGUACCCCAAACCGACACAGGUGGUCAGGUAGAGAAUACCAAGGCGCUUGAGAGAACUCGGGUGAAGGAACUAGGCAAAAUGGUGCCGUAACUUCGGGAGAAGGCACGCUGACAUGUAGGUGAAGUGAUUUACUCAUGGAGCUGAAGUCAGUCGAAGAUACCAGCUGGCUGCAACUGUUUAUUAAAAACACAGCACUGUGCAAACACGAAAGUGGACGUAUACGGUGUGACGCCUGCCCGGUGCCGGAAGGUUAAUUGAUGGGGUCAGCGCAAGCGAAGCUCCUGAUCGAAGCCCCGGUAAACGGCGGCCGUAACUAUAACGGUCCUAAGGUAGCGAAAUUCCUUGUCGGGUAAGUUCCGACCUGCACGAAUGGCGUAAUGAUGGCCAGGCUGUCUCCACCCGAGACUCAGUGAAAUUGAACUCGCUGUGAAGAUGCAGUGUACCCGCGGCAAGACGGAAAGACCCCGUGAACCUUUACUAUAGCUUGACACUGAACAUUGAGCCUUGAUGUGUAG
rnacentral:rRNA from 1 species